rnacentral:lncRNA from 1 species
GUCAGUUGCUUCCUCGAUGUUCCUUUUACGUAGGAUUGUUGCUAAUGUGUGGCCUUUUAGAACGGGCUACUUGAAGGUCUCCCCUGAAAAAUUCCCCAUGUUUUUACGUUCAGGGAACACAGUCUCAAGCUUGGGCGCUUGACGGGUGAAAAGUGAGAAACAGAUUUUAGGAGCCUGUUUAUCCUUCUUAGUUCUGCCUGGAACAUUUACCCCUUUGGGCUUCCGUUUCAAGUAGCGUUUAGAUUAAGAAAUGCAAACAUUGUCAGAUUAUAUACAAAGAUCAGACUUCUCUUUUUGCUGUUUUGAGUAACAGCCGCAAUAUCCCAUCUUGGCUUACAUUUUCAAAUGUGUGAUUUGGACGAUAGUGUGUUAAUAGUUUUAAACACAUUGCAAUAAAAGAGAAGACUGGAAAAGAACACUUCAACCCGAAAAACUGAAAUUUUGGAGAUUGAACCUAGGGCCUCCUCCAUGGUAGGCAAGUGCUGUGCCCCUGAGGCACACCACAAGACAGGGCCACUAAGUUGUCCAGGCUGGCCUCCACCUUGCCAUCCUCUUACCUAGCAUGCCAAGCAGCUGGAAUUACAGGAUUAACUCAGCUGACUUGGGAUGCUCAAACCUUGCAAGUUCUGAAAAAAGAAGUCGCCCUAGACUGACUCCCAGGAGAUUCAAACCAGGCGUGGUGGCACAUACCUAUAAUCCCAGCACCUGGGAGGCUGAGGCAGGAG